CUGAUUCAAGGUGGGAGUAAACAAGCAUAAAGAGAAGAAGUAGUGUCAGUCUCUUUCCCCUAAUGUGCUCUGUUCUUUGCCAUUAAAUCCAUCUCUCUCUCCCCAGGCCCUGUAGCCUCUAGCUGGGAGGUCCAGACUGCAUGUGAGGUGGUUGAGGAAGAGUCCGGCUCGCCUUCGUUGCUGUGAGGAUAGGGAUCGAACUCAGGACCUUGCAUUUGUGAGGCAGGUGCCAGAACCACUGAGCUAAAUCCCCGGCCCAACUUUCCUUUUAAAAGGACUCUGGCUCUCAUGGUGCCCCCCACAUAGCAGGAAGAAGAGACAGAGGUGGGAGCUCAGGAGGCUGUUCUCACACUCCAGGAAAGACCCAGGGCUGUGGAAUCGACAAGACCCGUAGCCGCAGGAUGCUGAGUAG
rnacentral:lncRNA from 1 species